CCGGAUGACGUUGGCAGAAGGUCUCUUCCUCUAUGGUGAAAUUGGUAGGGACAGUAGCCUGCAGCUCGUAAAAGUACUCUGGCUCAUCGUUGGAAGGAAAGCCCUGUGGAAUGAAAAUGGAGGUAGUUCUGAGGUAAGAAUUGAAUUGAUACCUAAAACAUCAACCUAAAACAUCAAGUAGCAUAUGUUGAGUGGACUGCCUUGAAGUCUAAAUAAUCCUAGGGUCAGGAUAAUCAAAUGAAGCAAACAACAUAUCUAUGCCAACAUUUACUGAUUUGAUAGUUUUAGGUGGGAUUCGCUCUUCUCAGUCAAAGGGUGAUUGUGCAUAGACUGGGGAAGCCAAGCAGAAUUUUGGACAUCUUCAGCUAUAUAAUACGUAUGAGUAUUACAGGACUGGAUUGAAUUGAAUUGAAUUGAAUUGAAUAUAGGAUUUAGGCAUUAAGCCAAGCACUGGGGCAUCAAAGGCCAUUCAGCGCAGGACUGGAUUGGAAACAGCCAAUAAACAUCGAUAUAUUACUACUAUGUGACUGCAAAAAAGACUAAUAAUAAUUGUGUAACAGU